ensembl:lncRNA
UCUCCCUCCAGCGGCUGCCGCUGCAGUUCCUGCCUCCCCCAGGGCUGCUUCUGGGAGACGUGGAGCCGGGAGCCGCCAUCAGGGCUGAACACAUUGGCCUGAGCUCCAACCUGCUCUCUACUGAAGCGUUUCCCUGCUGUCAUAUCACUGCCCUUUGCCAGCCUAGGUUAAUGCAACCUGGGAAAAGGCUCCAGUCUACAGCGAUGGUCAGCCCUGGAAGCGGGUGCUCCUCUCCCUCCUCCCAUCCCCCGAAUUCCCCCAGGCUCUGGCUAGUCAGUCAGUCUUUGCAGACGCCUGAUUCCUGCUAUGGCAGCCAUGUGCCAUGCAGGUGAGGGGCAGAGGUGGCACUGAGCUGGCAGCCCCAGGGUUGACCGGCAGCAGGACUGCAUUACUCUGCAAGGAUAGAGCCACCCUGGAAUCCCUGUCUUCUGAUUCAGGGAAGCAAUCUUCCUACAGGAGAGAGGAACUGGCACUGACGGCGGGCGUGCCUGGAGCUGUGUGGGGUGCUUUGCGUGCUGCCUGCCUUCGUUCUAGCAGCACCCCUCACAGUGGACGUUAUGGACCACUAUUCCAGAUAAGUAACUGAGGAUUGGGGUCACAGAAGGUCACUCAGCUGACAAGUGGCAGAGUCCGAAUUCUACGCCAGGUCAUCAUCACUUUGCCCUGCCCCCUGCCCCUCAGUGGUGGGCCUUUGGGCUGUGUUUUGUUGUAUUUUUGUAUUUCAUCCAGUGCAAGCCGAUUAUAGAAGAAACAAGGUGGGUGAGCCUGAGCUUUGAUUUCUUCAUCUCGCAUGUGGCCACAGGAGUGUCAUAGAAUGACCACACUGGAGCCACCUCAGCGAUGGGUAGAGCCACCCCCCCUGGUUUACAGGAGGGAAACUGAGGUCUAGAGGUGGGGAGCAACUUGCCUGAGGUUACAAGAUGGGUCAGUGGAGAGCUGGGCCAGGCCGGACUCUCCUUGGGGCCUCCUUCAUUGGUCUUUCUCAUCCUCCCUUGCUGGCCUCUUCACCUCUGUCCAGUUCUGCACAUUGGAGGAUCCCAGCCUGUCGCCCCUGGACCUCUUUUCUGCAUCUCAUUCCCCGGGUGACCCAGUCCCAUGAUUCUAAUUACCAUCUACAUGCCCGCCCUGAGUCUCAACUUGAGACCUCUAGCCCUGACCCCGCCUUUGAACUCCAGCCCAUCUGUCCAGCUGCCUUGGCCUGUCCUUAGACAUCUAAGAGGCUAACAAACUGGAUGUGUCUAAAACACAACUCUUGAUUUAGCUGUAUCCUCCCGGCUCCCACCAAGCUUGCUCCUCCCACAACUUCCCCAUUUUAGUCACUGGACCAUCAUCUUCCCAGUUAUUCAGGCUGAAAGCAUUGGUGUUAUCCUAUAUUUCCUUCCCUCAACCCCCACAUCUGAUCCAUUAGUAAAAAUAUAUUGCAGUCUGACCCUUCUCCCAUCUCCACCGUCAUCUGAUGCUGCAGCAACCUAACUGGUCCUCCUGCAUCCUCUUUUCCCGUCAAGAAUUUAUUCUUCUCACAGCAACCAACGUGCUCUCUUUUAAACAGAACAGGUUGUAUCAUUCCCCUGCUUGAAAACCUUUCAGUGACUUCACAUCAAUUCAGUAUGAAAUCCCAACUCCCUGCCAUGGUCCACAAGGCCCUACAGGUCCUGGGCUUCUGGAAGCCUCUGUCUCCAUUUUCAUCUCCUCCUGCUUCCUGAGAAUGAUGCACUGUCUCUUCUUUUUGUUCCGUGAGCACCCCAAGGUUGCCCCUGCCUCGGGGCCUUUGCACGACUCUUCCAUUUUCUUGGAACCCUCUUCCAAGAUCGUGGCUCAGUUGCUUCCUCAUUGUUGACAUCACUUGUCACAUUCCCUGAAUACCCUGUCUAGAGAAGCACCACCCCUCUGCCCAUCACUGUCUGUCACACUGGCAUGCUCUCUCUCUCACAGCCCUUGUCGUCACCUGAAAUCAUCUGGGUUAUUUGCCCACUUGUGGACUGUCUUUUCUCCUCACUGGAAUGUAAGUUCUGGGACUGUUUUUGUCCCUGCCACGUCCUCAAUACUAACAACAGUGUGCCUAGCACAUGGCAGGUGCUCAAUGAGUACUUGUUCACAGAACCAGCCACAUGGACUAAGGGCCUAAGUUACAACUCAAGUUUAUUCUAGGUUGCUGCCCCCAGACUCUCUUUUGUAGGACAGCUUUUCCCUGUCCUACGACUUCUUUAAGACAGUAAUUUCUUUAAGUGCUCAGAGGUCACUCAUUUAUCUACCAGCUCUACCACCUACAGGCUGUGUGACCUUGGGCAAGUUACUUAAUGUCUCUGUGUCUCAGUUUUGUCAGCUGUAAAAUGGGGGUAAUAACAGUGCCCACUUCAUAGAGUAAAUGUGAGAAUUGAAUGAAUGCAUAAAGAGUGCUUAAAACAGCACAGGGACACAGUGUUCAAUAACGUUAGCUCUAUUAUUUUUAUCAUCGUUAUCAUCACCACUGUCAUCAUCACUGGUGUUUUUAAUUGAGAUAUACUUGACAUAUAACAUAUUAGUUGCAGCUGUACAGCAUGAUUCAAUAUACGUAUAUAUUGCAACAUGAUCAGCAAAAUCUAGUUAACAUCCAUCACCAGUCUGACUCCUGGAAGAGGCAACUGGUGUCUCUGCCUUCACGUAAUAAUACUUUGUGCCACUCUGCCUGCACAGUACCCUCCAGUGGUUUUCGAUUUCACUUCAGAAAAAGACCAAACCCCUUUAAGUAGCCUGUGAGCCCCACAAGCACCUCUCCAGCCUCAUCCUGCAUGGCUUUCCCCGUUGUUUGACCCCCUGCAGUCACACCAGCCUCAUUUCAGCGUUCAUGUGACUUCUGCUUGUCCCACAUCAGGCACUUUGCCUGGAACUUACUCUCCCUCCACCUUUACCUGGUCAGUGCCUGCUCUUCGUCCCCAUCUCAGCUAGGUCAUUACCGUCUUAGCCUCCCACGACCACUCACGAGGGAAAUUCCCUAUUUCACACUCGGGGCAACACGUCCCUCUGUGGUAGCACGUCUCACAGUUGUGCGUUUGCUCUCUGCCUUCACUUGGAUUAACAUCUGCCUUCCCUGUUAGAUGCUAAACUCCAUGAGAACAGAGACCAACUCGUUCUUUGCUCACCUUUGUACUCCCAAUGCGAGCAGUGUUUGCACAGACAGGUUCCACUUGCUAGCAACGUGGCAUGGGCAGCCCCUGCCUGCCAUGCUGCUUUCACAGGGUGCGCACAGAGCUACAAAAAUGGGAAAGCCUUUGCUCGUCUAAGCCAAGAUAGAAACUGGACGUGAAGCUGCAGCACAAUGGAGAAGUCUGUCUCGCUUCCUGGACUCGGCUGUCUUACUGCCAGACACUCAGCUUUUCCUUCCCUCUCGAAACAAGGUGACUGUGGUGUCCUGAUGGUGGACUGCUCUGUUCUGAUUUAGCUGGCUGAUGGUGUUUUCUUUAAUUGGUUCCAUCAGAGGUCCUUCAGGCUGCAGACCCGGACCAGUCACCCCCAGAGUCUGUACCAAGACAUGGCAAAAUGAG